GAUGAACGCUGGCGGCGUGCCUAAUACAUGCAAGUCGAGCGAAGCGGGGACGGGUGAGUAACACGUGGAUAACCUCCUAUAAGACUGGGAUAACUUCGGGAAACCGGAGCUAAACCGGAUAAUUAUAGAUGGAUCAGCGCUGCCUUAGCGAGUUGAUAAGGUAACGGAUUAACAAGGCAACGAUGACUAGCCGACCUGAGCGGGUGAUCGGCCACACUGGAAGUGAGACACGGUCCAGACUCCUACGGGAGGCAGCAGUAGUGAAUCUUCCGCAAUGGGCGAAAGCCUGACGGAGCAACGCAGCGGGAGUGAUGAAGGUCUUCGGAUCGUAAAACUCUGUUAUUAUGGAAGCGGUACCUAAUCAGAAAGCCACGGCUAACUACGUGCCAGCAGCCGCGGUAAUUC
rnacentral:rRNA from 1 species